AGCAAAGGCAAUAAUAAACACGUAUACUAACAAAAAGGACUUGAGCAUUUGACCAUGAAUCAAACAAUAGGCAUGAGAAAAAAUCGAUAUCACUUAAACUCCCACUCAAAAUGGAGGAAUAACAUCAACUUACGCAAAGCUCAAAGAGGCAUGACUAACCUUGACAUUUAGUCACUAAACAUUAAAAUUCAAAGCAACCAAAUCAAUUUUGGUGAAGCAAAAUACAUAAGACCAAUUCUAUGAAAUUAACUCAUUUUUUCAAGUGCUAUGGACAGCAUGAAGUUUUAAAGUGAUGACAUUAGAGAACAAAAUGACCAUUUAAAUAAUGAAUUGACAUGGUAACUAGCAAUAUGCAUUACAGUGAUCAUAAGCAAUCAUAACUUAAUUACAAAUGGCUAUAGUGAACAAAGUCUUUGGUGAAAAUUUAACUAAGGAGAACCAACAUGGAAACCUACAUAUAUUACUAGCAUAUUUAUAAACUAGAGAGGACGAUGCAACAAGUCAAAGAAAAACAAUUAGGACCCACCAAUGACUCCCAAAUUCUAUUAAAGAAAACACAUUACAGAAGAGCACAACAAAAAAUUAAAAAAAAUGGGCAGAUGAACAGAUGUCUUCCACUAGUUGAAAAUAGUAUCGUUGGAUUAAGAAACGCGAUAUAGGUAGUCAAGGAAAUUUGAACCUUAAGAAGUAGGCAACAACUCAUGGAAAGGUCUCUAACAUGUUAUUCAAAACAGUGCAACAGCAAAGAGAUCAAGAAAACAAAGAAAGCUAAACCAUUAGCAUACGAACGCCAUUUACACCGCAUAUGAUUUGCCGUAUUAAUUAAUAAAGAGAUCUUAAACCUAUAUGGAUAACUAUUCUAACAGUAACAAACAAUUCCAACCAAACUAAAAUUUUCCUCAAACUUCGAACUUAAAGCUACUAACUACGGAAUACCAAAAGAGUAAACACACAAUCAAACUAACAACAAAAAGGACAUUUUAACAAGUAUCACCCAGAAGUGCAUAGAUCAUGGAAACAUGCCAUUGAACACUGAAAUCUAGAGGGAAAAAACCGAGCUUAAUCAAACAGUUCUAGGCAUAAAUCAAACACAGAAGACACAAUUUAUGCCUUAACAAUUAAAGCAUCGACUCCAAACCCAAAC
rnacentral:lncRNA from 1 species